UGAUCUUUUUAGUUAUGUGGAACUUCAUUUUUUUAUUUUAGAUAUCAAGAAUACAAGUCAAAGUAUAUUACAACACAUAAACAAGCCUUUUUCUCACAAGGAUGAAGAAUGGUACUUCUUGUCUUUUUACUUCCAGAUUUUCUUUCCUUUUGUUAUUCCCCCUAAUUCAAUCUCUUUUGCCUAAUUAGGUUGGGAGACAAAUAUGAUCCAACCAAGGGUUGCACAGUUAUAGUUGUUUGAUUUUGUAGGAAUGUAAUUUCUGGAUGUAACUUCAUACUUAGAACGGAUUGAUUCUUACAGUUUAGUAUUUUUUUUUCUCCAUAUUUAUGUUAUGAAAUUUAUUGGUUGUGGUAUAGAGAGUUAAGUAGUAGUUCCCCAAUAUUUUGGGUUUCUACUUUGAGUUGGCUAGUUUAUGGUCCUAGAUCCUAGUAAAAUUUUUAUCUUUCUUUUGCCUUUAUAAAAACAUGUUUAUAUUUGUAUAGAUACUACUUUAUUUUGUAAUUUGGGAUUGAUAUAGAGUAUAGUUAGAUUUUGGUUUGUUAAGGGAGGAAGAAAAUAAAGAAUUAAAAGCUUGGAACUUCAUGCAUCUUUUUCUCUCACUCUUUUCUUGGUGAAUGUAUUCAAGUCUUGAAGAUUAUGUAGCAGAGUACUACCAACAGCAGAUUUUAAAGAGUUGAAGAUAACAAUCGAUGAGACAUUGAGCUUUGAGUUAUGUGAGAGUUCUGUUUUAACUGAGUUUAAUAGGUAACUGCUUAGAUUCUUCUGCUAAAGUUCAAAAUGUCCACACCUCCCAAGGAAUAACUCACGGUUUCUUAGGAAGAGUUCGAUAUAUAUGUGACUGGCUCAUGGAAUUAUGGUAUUUGGUGUCAUACUGCAUUGGGAUAUGAAUCUUCUUGCAAUCAAAUAACUGCAGAAGAUUCAUAUCCCAAUGCAGUAUGGCACCAAAUAACAAAAUUCCAUGAGCCAGUCACAUAUAUAUCGAACUCUUCAUAAGAAACCUAUAAGCAAACACACAUUCAUAUCCACUUACUUAAAAGCAAGUCACAUAUACUUAGAUGUGAUAAAAUAACCAUUCACUUACCCCUUUCAUGCUUAAGUCUGUUCAAAACAAUGUGCUUAACAUUUUCUUGUAUGUCGUUCGGGUUUAACAAAAUUAUAUUAACAAAAAAUCCCCACAAAAUACUUCAAAAAAUGUUGUUUCCUAAUCUGGUGCUAAGCACGAUGUACGUGCUUAGAAAGGAACUCCGCCAAUUCCGAUCUAACUUCAUCGAUUUCAUCUUGAGAGUACGUAGGAGGUAAAUAGAGUACGUAGGAGGUAAACUUUUCAUCUGUAAAUAAUAAAGUGGUUAAGAAUUAUUUUCAUUCCAAACAAUGACAUAAAGUGGUUUCAAAACUCUAAUACUUACGACAUCUACAAUCGAAGUACUCCUCGCAGAAAUUAUGUCCCGCAUGAAUCGCAUAACAUAGUACCUGCAUUCUA